rnacentral:rRNA from 1 species
GUGGGGAAUUUUGGACAAUGGGCGCAAGCCUGAUCCAGCAAUGCCGCGUGCAGGAAGAAGGCCUUCGGGUUGUAAACUGCUUUUGUACGGAACGAAACGGUCCGGGUUAAUACCCUGGGCUAAUGACGGUACCGUAAGAAUAAGCACCGGCUAACUACGUGCCAGCAGCCGCGGUAAUACGUAGGGUGCAAGCGUUAAUCGGAAUUACUGGGCGUAAAGCGUGCGCAGGCGGUGCUGUAAGACAGGCGUGAAAUCCCCGGGCUCAACCUGGGAAUUGCGCUUGUGACUGCAGUGCUGGAGUAAGGCAGAGGGGGAUGGAAUUCCGCGUGUAGCAGUGAAAUGCGUAGAUAUGCGGAGGAACACCGAUGGCGAAGGCAGUCCCCUGGGCCUGUACUGACGCUCAUGCACGAAAGCGUGGGGAGCAAACAGGAUUAGAAACCCCGGUAGUCC